AGAGAGAGCGGCUAACAUGGCAGAGGGGGAAGCGCGCGACUGGGCAGAGGAACGGGGAGAGGAGGAGAGCGCGAGAGCGCGAGGACCAGGAGAGGUGCCCGGGGAUCGGGAACGGCAGCGCCUCGCCGGAAGCCGCCGUAUGUCUCAGGUCUGUCUGCGGACAUAAACCGGACGGAGAAGGAAGCUCCCACUGCGCCCUCCUCAUCCCGUUUCUUGGCCCAUUAAGCAGACCCUUCCGUCGCCCGCCGUCCCCAAAGAGGAAUUGCCGUCCGUCUGCGGGAGACGAAGUGUUCGAGCGAAGAGAGAGCCGGCAGGAGUCCGCACCCCUCAAGAGGCAACCUGCGAUACCACUACCGCUUCCUCGACGCCAACUUAAUCCUUUGAAAGCAUAAAUCAAUGCCACCCUCCUCCGACCUGUCGGGGUCAUUCCUAGGAUAUGAUAGCACGUUCGUUUUGAAAUUCGCACCAUUUCCCGCCUGUCUAAAGCUCCCUAAUUGAAAACUCUGCAUGACUUCAAGGGCUUUUACUUGCCCGCUCCUAAGAUGCUUUCCAGGGCUUCAUAACAGAGCAACAUUUACUUUCAGGAUUACAUUGUUAUACAAAGAAUUUAGAAAACAUCCCCCUCCUAAGUGUUUUGAUAGACCCGUCAAAUUCUAAAAACCUUCCCAGGUACCUUAUUUUGCAAAAUGCGGAAAGAGGCUGUACUUACCUUGAGAUUUAUACAAUGUUUCUGCCAAACUAUGCCCAUUCCUCUUUAUGAGGAAGGUCAUUUUGUGUGCAAAUCAAGCUAUCCUCCCAGCAGAGGGUCCAAAACAGAAUAGCUUUUCCGGAUUAAAUCAAAGAUCCAUUCUCUCCUGCUACUGUUUCCCAAAGUGGUCUGCAGUGCUCUCCUUGUCAAAUUCGAACAGUAAAGGGCGUAGAAUUAGAUGACAGUUGAGUCCAGCCUAAUUUUUUCUUAAGAUGUUUACUGCGGUGGAAACAACCAAUCUUAAGUCUUGCUGCUCAUAAUGUUACAAUUUCUAAAUUAAAUUUUCUUCUCUUCAAGCUAAAUCCUGAAACUUAUUUAGCUUUUUUUAAAUAGGGAAUUUUACCCAAGUUCAGGGCUAAAGUAAACACAGCCUCUUUAUAAAACAAGGUGAAGGAAUAAAGAAACAUUAAAGACCUGAAACCAGAAUGUCUGCCCUAAAAAUGGAAUGUAUUAUAUGCAUCAAAGCAUCUUUAUCAGGGGAAAUUGCAAUUCCUAUUAACUUGAGGCAGAAAGAUGCCACAAUCUCUGCUACUUUGCAUUUUACAAUAGAAUAUAUUGAGAAUGUAUGCCGCAUAAUAGUUCUGUGCUCAUAUCCACAGUUCUGAAUGCAUUUCAAAAGACAAGUUCCUUUUCCUCUGACUAGACACCUGACCAAUUCAUUGAAACAAAAGCAGUGUCAUUGGAACCACACGGCAGCUUUCCAGGCCUUGCUUUCCUUCUUCCAGGUUCUUUCUCUGCUAUGAGAAAAUUUGAGAGGCAACCUCAGCCAAGUCAAUCUUUGGUUUAGUAUCUACAAACUGCAUGUUCUAAACCGUCCAUGCUGGAGAGCACUCAUUUCCAUCAAGGACAACUCUUAAAUAUUUGGAACCUGCACUACUUGAAAACAAAGCAAACGAAUGGCCGAGGGUUUUAAGUAACAGUAACCAACGGGCUACUUCUUAGGGCAUUCGGCGGUUGGAAGGCCGCAUCUGCUAGGUCCAAAGCUAGAGGCAAGCGCUAACUCUUUAGUGCCUCAAUAGUUCGGACUCAGGCUGUCCUUGGAGCUCCGACGAUGCACAAUGUUUUCCCUCCCUGCCGUUCGCUCCCGAGUUCAGAAUGAUUUCUGGAGCUUUCGCUACAAACUGACAUCCAGGAACCCAGUGAAAGUCGCGGGCAGCGGUCUAUUCGCCCGUUCCCUCUUGGCGCUGGGCGGCGUAACCGGGACCCCGCCUGAGCGGAAGGGCUUUUGUCCUUAUCCGAGAGAAUUAUGCUGAGGGUGGAGACCUGUCUUACCAGCAAGCCGGGGAGAAGUUGAGAUCCACCCCGGAGUCGGCUUAGAACUUUAAGAUUGGCCACCGCUUCCUCCUAUAUUGCUACACAUUCCCCGGAAAAAACCCGGAACGUCAUCUUAGUACCUCCAGCCACGUCAGCUAAGAGUUGGGAAGGUUUGACUGGCUCUCUUUAUCACCGAAACUUUUUCUGCUAAAAUAUGCUGGAUACCUAGCGCUUCUUUUAUUUUUUAGAUAUCAGGAUAUAUUCUCCAAUUAUAAUAAUCGGUUAACUAGCGAACCAAGUUGCACUGCCAUUUUCUGUAAGGCAAUGUGGAAAGGCAUUUAAAAACAGGUCCGGUUAAGAUUAGAUAUAUUAGGAUACUAGAUUGUAACCACUCAGAUUUCCUGUAUAAGCACUGUAUAAUUUCUCCCCUUUGAUAACCAAGGAGUCAACAUACUAUAAAAUCCCAGUGGGCUGGGAGAGAAUCAUUGCUGAACUAAGAAGACAGACAUGCAGCUCAUUUUUAAAAUCUACAGUAUUAAAGUUCCCAAUAAUUAUACAAUAAAAAAUUAAGAAAGAUUCUGCCAAUUUGGCAAAUAUAACUAACCAUCUAGGAUGGAUGAAAUUUAGUUUUUUUAUGCUUCAUAUUACACCUCUUCUAAAAAUAUAUUUCAAUGGAUACCCAAUAUAUAUAAUGGCACUUUGAUAGGUAUUUUGAUUCUAAUAAAUACCAGCUUAGAUUAAGUUUUAUUUUUUUCCAGAAAUGGAAUUCCAUUUUAACAGCCUUGCUAAAAAAGUUUAUUUUUCAUAAGAGAUUGAAUCCCAGAUUAUGAACAUGAGAACCGAUACUUUUAUAAAUAAACUGAACACAGAACUACUUCAAUUAUUUCCAUUACUAAAAGCAUAAAGACUUUUCAGAUUUAAGAUCUGUAUGUGCUUCAUAAAAUAAAAUAGUUAAAGUUACUUCAAAUACUUUUAAAAUACAAUACAAACAUAUUUGUUUAAAAAGUAUUUGAUUGUAUAUAUUGUUUAGCUUCUUCAAUUUGUUCAACAAAAUGCCAAAAUUACUGUUUUA